GCUUCAAUGGAUUACCCGCUUUGGCGGAAAUUGCAACAGAUGGCGCUAGUGAGCAGGAGUUUUCCAACUUUUAAAUGUAUGAAGAAAAUAAUAAAUCACUGUUUUUUGACUUAAUGAACGAUUUAUCGGGAAAAAUAUUUGGUACAGGUUAUAGAUAAUAAUUAUAGGAAUCUGCGUUACCAAAUAUUUUUUGCCAAAACUUCAAAAUUUUUGAAAUAUUUGAAAAAAUGUUAAAAUCUCCAUACAUUUUUUCGUUUGAAAACUUCUGCCUCGAUUUGAAUGAUCUUCGUUUGCCUAUACAUGGGCAUCAUGAAUAUACAUGGAUUCAUGUUUACCCAUCUGUCAAAGGCAAACAAAACAGGUGCGCAGUUUCUCCGAAAGCAAAUUGAAGCAGCAACUAACGAAAACGUAACAAUUUCAUUGGAAAUAAUACUUAACACAAUUAAAAGAUUGUAAUUUUUCAGGUAGAGUAAGUGUGAAAAUAAGUGUAACAGUGCGUACCGGAACACCACGUCUCCACCGGGAACACAUUCGUCGUCGUCCGUAAGAUAAUCUUCUCCCUGACUUCGGCAGUGCGUCGUGGCUCUCGCCUGAACUCCAAUCUCAGAUGAACUAAAGGUCUGCUGCCGAAAAGUUUUCACGAUGUGGCAGGAAGAGCUUCUACAAGUUGAGAUAUCUAUACCAAUCCAUACCAGCGUCGGAAGGGUUGGACUCGAGGGAGCCUGGUCAGUACUGGGCAGAACGGUGAAAAUCAACUAAAGCAACAAGGUACUCCCGUCAACCAUGGUGGACCAACAACUCUGAACACAGAAAUCAUCAAUCAACUACAAGAAGUACUAGCAUCUGUAUAUAGCAUCCCCUCCCAUCUGUUAUAAUCAAUGCCUUGUAAUAUUUCUUUCUUUUUUAACAUGUGCACAAAUAAUAAAAAAAAAUCUGCGGGGGGUGGGGCGUUUGACUAGUCUCUGUAAUUGAUCCAAAAAUUCCCCGGAAGCUGGCAAACUCACUGGUAAAAUUCUUGGUUGAUCUUGGUUCACCUAAGAACAUCUCAAGUAGUGCCAGCUAAAUUGGCUUUGAGUUAUAAAUUUAUAUAACGCUUAAAAGUUAGUGUUUUUUUAUUAUUUUUAUAACUUUAAUCAGAACUCUUAGUAAGCAGGUUUAACAUUUUCUAUGUAAAUGAGGUUUAACGCAAAACACUUAGAACUUAUAAAACUACCUAUGGUGUCCAUAAGACAUUAUUCCAAUAUGGGCGAAUUUGUGGCUAAGAAAGUUCAUCAUGU